UUAACACAUGCAAGUCGAACGAUGAAGCUGGAGCUUGCUCCGGUGGAUUAGUGGCGAACGGGUGAGUAACACGUGAGCAAUCUGCCCUUGACUCUGGGAUAACUGCGGGAAACUGUAGCUAAUACCGGAUACGAGGCUCGAAGGCAUCUUCGGGUCUGGAAAGAAUUUCGGUCAAGGAUGAGCUCGCGGCCUAUCAGCUUGUUGGUGAGGUAAUGGCUCACCAAGGCGACGACGGGUAGCCGGCCUGAGAGGGCGACCGGCCACACUGGGACUGAGACACGGCCCAGACUCCUACGGGAGGCAGCAGUGGGGAAUAUUGGGCAAUGGAGGAAACUCUGACCCAGCGACGCCGCGUGCGGGAUGAAGGCCUUCGGGUUGUAAACCGCUUUCAGCAGGGAAGAAGCGAAAGUGACGGUACCUGCAGAAGAAGCACCGGCUAACUAUGUGCCAGCAGCCGCGGUAAUACAUAGGGUGCAAGCGUUGUCCGGAAUUAUUGGGCGUAAAGAGCUCGUAGGUGGUUCGUCACGUCGGAUGUGAAACUCUGGGGCUUAACCCCAGACCUGCAUUCGAUACGGGCGAGCUUGAGUAUGGUAGGGGAGUCUGGAAUUCCUGGUGUAGCGGUGGAAUGCGCAGAUAUCAGGAGGAACACCAAUGGCGAAGGCAGGACUCUGGGCCAUUACUGACACUGAGGAGCGAAAGCGUGGGGAGCGAACAGGAUUAGAUACCCUGGUAGUCCACGCCGUAAACGGUGGGCACUAGUUGUGGGGACCUUCCACGGUCUCUGCGACGCAGCUAACGCAUUAAGUGCCCCGCCUGGGGAGUACGAUCGCAAGAUUAAAACUCAAAGGAAUUGACGG
rnacentral:rRNA from 1 species